ACAAAAGUGAAAGAAGACGUCGUACCCAACGCAAACAAGUUCUAAUCUGUAAUCUUUCACACACAAAACGCUCGAAUGGCCAGUAAUGGGCGUGCAAUAACAGUUUUCCAUCAAAGCCAAAUUUCUAAUCGGAUUCUGACAGGGCAGAACACGUGCCUACGGUUAGCAGAAUUUCUACGAAUAAACGCCGUAAGUUGAGCAUCCCCGGCUGCGUAGAUGUGUGCGCCCGAUCCCCGGCAGUGCAACGAGAUUAUGAAAGGGGAUGUGCAGUUGAAUAGUUACGUCGAUCCGUCGUAAUCUUACGCAUUAGAUGUGACAGUUCAAAAAAAUGUUGGGUUUGACCAGCUGUGUUAGACAAGCUCCAGGAAUCCAGGCUGAUCCGUGGUAAAGCGCUGGCCGAGGUGGCGGUUGAGUGGACACCACUGAGUCCAGCUUGGAGGCGCUGAAGACUUGAGAGCCAACCUCCGUCAUCGCAGACAAGCUGGCAUCGCGGAAGAAGAGAUGUACUGGUAUUGCGAUGUGCUAGUAUUGCUUGCCACUAAGCGUUGUGGCGCCAUGAUCUGACGCAAUGGGAGGGGGCAAUUGAUUUGGUUUUGGUAACGGGAACAAGCUUCAGGCGUAACGAGGUGUUCAUGGACGCCUAUGGACAUCCGCACCAGAGGAACUGCAGAUGCCGGCCGCCAUUUGCCUGCCGGCAUUUGAGAAAGAGCUAAGCUUGGUUCUGAAUGUUUAUUUAAUACGUAUUUAUGUUAUUAAAAAUACCUUGAAUAUUGGAUUUUUAGACUUCAACUGACAGAACAACACAAAACGACUUAAAUAACAUUUGUUUCUUAUUUUAGAAUAGAAUAUAUGCUAUAUAAAUUAAGAUUCCGAAAGUUGCUGUUGUGAUAGAGCCAAUAAAUAACAGUGGCAAAAAAUUACAGAAUAUUGUUUCCUGUUAAAUUGUUUUAUAUCGUAAUUGACCGUAUCCAUAUAAAUCUAACGUCAACCCGCCAAGACCGAGAAUCGCGUAAGAAGUUCAAAAACGGAAUGAUUUUUAAAAAAUGUAUCUCCGCUCGCGCGCUCGUUUAUAAUAAGAGAAACCGAACGAACGGACAGCGAGUAAAAAGUCCAAAAGCAUACCCUUUUCGAAUUUUGUUCGAAAAAGAACGAUCCCGUGAUAAAUAUUGAAAUAUGAAAUGGAGAUAUGAUACUUUUUGUUCCGUUCGCCGGCCGCCUUCGGUUUUUGUCUUCGGAACUUUUUUUCUUAUUUUUUUAAUUCCACGUUUUUAAUAGCGUUUUGAACACGGGUUAAUGGUCAGAGGCCGGCGUCCACGCUACUGUUUUAUUGAGCAUUAAUUUUACUAUUAUGGUCUUGUAUAUGAAUCGGUUGUGAUACACGCAUUUUAUAGUCCCAGCAGUGGGCAGGCGUCAUAACGAAUCUUUAAUUGGUGCGUUAGAAUUUGUUACUGCGCUCACUGAAUGGCUCUAUUUAAAUAUUAUCUCGUAAUAAACCAUAUUGUAUGGAGUUUGGAAUGAAUUAGGGUACAAUCACGCACAGAAGUCGAGUCAAAUUUGUUAAACUAUUUAUAAAGAAU